rnacentral:lncRNA from 1 species
CUGAGUACAGAUUAAUAAUUCUAAGGGUUUUCAGUAGUUUUUUGUUCUAGAAAGUAGUUCAUUUGCAUUCACAUACAGGCAGUAUAUCCUUAGACUAUGUGUUUUUGUUGUUUUGUUUUUUGGUACUAGGGAUUGAUCCCAGGAGUGCUUUAUUACUGAGAUACAUUCUCUUUGAGGCAGUGUCUGACUAAGUUGCUGAGGCUGGCCUCAAGCUUGCAAUUCUCUUUCCUCAACCUUCCAAGGCCCUGAAGUACAGGCAUGCACCAUUGCAUCUGGACUCUUGGUUGGUGUUUUGUUGUUGUUGUUGUUGUUUUGUUUUUAUUGUUUUUUUUAAUACCAGAGAUUGAACCAAGGGCAUUUAGCCAUAUUCCCAGCCCAGGUCUAGGUGAGUUGCGUAGGGCCUCACUAAAUUGCUGAGGCUGGGUUUCAACUCACGAUUCUCCUGCCUCAGCCUCCCAAGUCACUGGGAUUACAGGCGUGUGCCAUUGCACCCUUCCCACCCCCCAAAUUAUAUCAAAGGUUUGUUUCUGCUUGGUUUGGGGAUAUCCCCCAAAAGCUUAUGUGUUGAGGACUUGGUCCCUAGCACAGCAGUAUCCAGAGGUGUGGCAUUGGGAAAUGAUUGGAGAAUGAAGGAUCUAACCUCAUCAAUGGAUUAAUCCAUUUGACAGAUUAAAAAUCUGAAUGCACUGCUGGGAAAAGAUGGAAACUAGGCAGCUAGGGCAUGGUUGAAGAGGUAGGACAAUAUUGGCAUGCCCUUGAGGCCCCUUCUGUCAAUCUUCCCCAUGAACUGACAGCUUUCCUCCACUGCACCUUUUCACCAUGAUGUUUCUUUUUGAAGCUAACUGACCAUGGACUUAAACCUCUG